CUGAUUUACAACGUGCGACCCUGCGGGAGAAGUGAACUUCUGUGUCUGGGCUGAAACUUGGCUCAGAAACUAUGGACGUCAACUCACAGGCGAGAUGAUGGACAGAACGAACUCAGAUCGCGAUGUGUUUAUAGCUUAUAAGGACAAAUGCCCCUUGGGUUCUUUUCUCCAUUCCAGAGAAUUCCCUGGAGUGAGAUAAACAUAUGGAAGAUGGAUUUUUUCUUCUUUCUUCUAAAAGCCUCGAGAAGGAAAAAGGCGCACUGGUGUGGGACUUGGAAAGAAGGGUUGGUGUGUUUUCAACAAGACUCUGGCUGGGCGGCUCCCGAGUCGGGGUAAUAGGGCUGCUGGGGGCUUGGCCGGCUCCCCAGGGCUGGGGUGCUCGGGCUUUGGCCCCCAUCCUGUGCCUCAUUUUAAUUUAGGGAAAUUGGACUCAUAGGAAAAUGACAACCUCAUAUGCCCCACGACUCAGAAUGAACCACUGUUAAUAGGCGACAUUUGGGCAUUUUUCCUUUCAGAGUUUUUUUGUUUUUUGUUUUAAAGAAAAACCACUCCCUUUUUUUUUUUUUUUUUAAGAUUUUAUUUAUUAUUUGACGAAGAGCUAGAGAGAGCACAAGCAACAGAGCUGCAGACAGAGGAGGAGGAAGAAGCAGGCUCCCCGCUGAGCAGGGAACCCAAUGCAGGGCUCGACCCCAGGACUGUGGAGUGAUGACCUGAGCUGAAGGCAGGUGCUCAACCAACCCACUGAGCCACCCAGGCACUCCCCCUCUCUUUUUUUAAAUUAAGAAUGAGUAAAAAACAACCAUCUCCUUGCACUA